AGUGAACGCUGGCGGUAGGCCUAACACAUGCAAGUCGAACGGCAGCACAGUAAGAGCUUGCUCUUACGGGUGGCGAGUGGCGGACGGGUGAGGAAUACAUCGGAAUCUACUUUUUCGUGGGGGAUAACGUAGGGAAACUUACGCUAAUACCGCAUACGACCUACGGGUGAAAGCAGGGGAUCUUCGGACCUUGCGCGAUUGAAUGAGCCGAUGUCGGAUUAGCUAGUUGGCGGGGUAAAGGCCCACCAAGGCGACGAUCCGUAGCUGGUCUGAGAGGAUGAUCAGCUACACUGGAGCUGAGACACGGUCCAGACUCCUACGGGAGGCAGCAGUGGGGAAUAUUGGACAAUGGGCGCAAGCCUGAUCCAGCCAUACCGCGUGGGUGAAGAAGGCCUUCGGGUUGUAAAGCCCUUUUGUUGGGAAAGUAAAGCAGCAGGUUAAUACCCCGCUGUUCUGACGGUACCCAAAGAAUAAGCACCGGCUAACUUCGUG
rnacentral:rRNA from 1 species